AAAUUGAAGAGUUUGAUCAUGGCUCAGAUUGAACGCUGGCGGCAGGCCUAACACAUGCAAGUCGAGCGGCAGCGGGAAAGUAGCUUGCUACUUUUGCCGGCGAGCGGCGGACGGGUGAGUAAUGCCUGGGGAUCUGCCCAGUCGAGG
rnacentral:rRNA from 1 species